ensembl:misc_RNA 7SK 7SK RNA
AUGUGCGUCCCUCCCAAAGCUGCACACUUAGUCAAGAGGACGACCAUUCCCACUAGAGGAGGACCAGUCUUGGGUCAAGGGUAUAUGAGUAGCUGUGCUCCCCUGCUAGAAUCUCCAAACAAGCUCUCAAGAAAGCAAAUGUUUGAUUUUGAGGGUUGUAAUUAUUAAAAAAAUAGGUAACGUUCCUGUAU